rnacentral:rRNA from 1 species
AGAGUUUGAUUCUGGCUCAGGAUGAACGCUGGCGGCAUGCCUAAUACAUGCAAGUCGAACGAGAGGAAGGAAAGCUUGCUUUUCUGAAUCUAGUGGCGAACGGGUGAGUAACACGUAGGUAACCUGCCCAUGUGCCCGGGAUAACUUCUGGAAACGGAUGCUAAAACCGGAUAGGUAGCAGACAAGCAUUUGACUGCUAUUAAAGUGGCUAAGGCCAUGAACAUGGAUGGACCUGCGGUGCAUUAGCUAGUUGGUGAGGUAACGGCCCACCAAGGCGACGAUGCAUAGCCGGCCUGAGAGGGCGGACGGCCACAUUGGGACUGAGACACGGCCCAA